rfam:Syntrophobacterales bacterium RBG_19FT_COMBO_59_10 rbg_19ft_combo_scaffold_15570, whole genome shotgun sequence.
ACGAGCCGUAUGAGUCGAGAGGCUCACGUACGGAUCUGUGGGGGACUGGAGGUGAGAUUCCUCCGGUCUACCCGGC